AGUCGUGGGGCGUGUGGGUGGGUUGUUUGAGAUAAAAUUCAGUGAGUUUGGAUGAUCGUUAUGCCAAUGAUAGGCAUUAGUAUGUUACAACAAGAGAGGAGAGGGGGUCCCGCACUUCUUUUUUUCUUUUAAGUGAAUCAAUGUUUGGAUAAGUAAGAACUUCAAGUUUGGUUGGGAACGAGGUUGCUUGAUCUGGAAUAGAGUUUUGGAGGUGUGGAAAUGAGACAGUUGAUUUUCGAGUCAAUUUGGUGAUAUGAAAAUGUGCCUGCCAUUCGUAACCACAUUCAUAUUAAUGACAAUUUAAUUGGUGCAAUGCAACAUCGGCACAUAUUGAAUCUGCAGUUAAUGAUAUAUUUUUUAUGGGUUGAGGUGUAUCUUGUUGUAUGUGGUAUUAUGAUGUCAGUUUACUUUUUCCUUAAAGGUACCAAAUAAUGCUUGGUGAUGGGUUAUCAGAGUGUGAGUUCUUGUGCUAUUGCUGUGAGUAACUUAUCUCAGUCUACCAAAUGGAUGUUACAUGUUCCUGCCCCUACUUACUGCUUAUUGAUUUGGGUGAAUCUAAUAUGUGGGUGUUGGUAUUGUGAUGGUAUUUUCUGUAGAAUGACUUCAAGCAUGGGUAGUAGCACUUCUUGUACAUAAGCGCCUACAUCUACCAAUGAAGAUUCGAAUAAAUCAAUAUGGAGAUGCAUUUGACACGUUUGAAGAUGUUGGAGUGCUUGAAGUUGCGAAUUUUUUACUUGAUGUGCCGGAGAUGGAGUGCGAUGUUUUUUAGAAGAAGUGGAUAAUGUAGAUGAAUGACUUGUUAUAUUUGAUAGUGAAAUGUGGAUUGUUUUUUGUUUUUUUGACUUAUUGUUAAAUGUUGAAUUUAAUGG